rnacentral:piRNA from 1 species
UGCGUGCAAUGCGUCUGUGCACUUGAGUGCU